rnacentral:lncRNA from 1 species
CCCCCCCCUCCCCCUUCAUUUCUUCUAUUUUCUUUUUUUUUUAUUAUUUUAUUUUAUUUAUUUAUUUUUUUUACAGGUCCAACAACAGACACUAACAAUACAAGUCUAUUUAAAACUAUUAAAACUUUUAGAGAAAUAAAUCUGAAAAUUUAAAUUUUGUAGGAAUAUAUUUGAUAUUCGAUAUAUUUAUAUAAAACUAUAUAAAAUUAUCCCUAUAAAUAAAUGCACAAUACAUAGAUAUACAAAAACAUGAUUUGCAUGUACGCAUUAAUUAAUAUCUUUACAAUAACAAUGAUUGAUCAUUUCUCCUUUUCUUUAUAGGAAGCUUCUCUAUGACACAUGCUCCUUUGUAUAAAGCUUCUUUAGAAAAGUAUAUGCUCUUUAACGAAAGCUACUUAAUUAUAACAGC